GCAUGGAUGGGAAAGGUGUUGUGCCAAGCCCAACAGUGUGCUCUUUUUUCUUUUUCAAACUGAACUUUAAACAAAAUGCACACAGCAUAGUGGCAAAAGGAUAUCUUUGUGUACUUAAUAUCAGGUACCCUGAGGCUUUGGGAAGAGAAGAACUGUGCUGGAGUUGCUGGCUAGAAAUUUUCACAGCUAUAUAUUCAGUGCUAGAUAACCAGGCCCAAAGGACACGAAUCCCUUUCAUGCACACCUUUGGGAAUACAAAGUAUAUGAUAUUGGUUCCGCAAAGAGUGCCUUCAGGUAUUUUUAGUUGAGUGGCUUCAUGCUUAUGGUGACUUAAGAAAAUUCACGUGCAGAGCAAUUAUUUUGUUAUGCAUCAAUUAAUAACUUCAGCUUACUUCCCUUUGGGCAAAGGAAAUGGGUCCAUUAAGAGCCAUAAAAUGUAAUGAAAUCCUAUGAUGGGCUGAGACAACUAAGGCACCCCAGAUGAACAAACAAGGGAAUCAGCCCAUGAGAAGAUGUGGUUCUGUUUUCCAAUCAUUUCCCUUGGAUGAAUGGUGUCUGUGCACUGCAGGUGAAUAGUAACCAGAAGCCCUGGAGAAUUCAGGAUUUGCAGGCUGUUCUUUCAAUGAGUCACCUCAUCAAGUCCUCCAGCACUCUCUCUCUCACUCCCAUACUGUUUGUUCUCCCACACUA